AUCCAGCUGACGAGUCAUAAAUAGGACGAAAUGCGCAUCAUACUAGAU
rnacentral:hammerhead_ribozyme from 1 species